UCGAGGAUCUUCGGCAAUGGGCGCAAGCCUGACCGAGCGACGCCGCGUGUGCGAUGAAGGCCUUCGGGUUGUAAAGCACUGUCGAGGGGGAGGAAGCCGCAAGGUUGACCUAUCCCUGGAGGAAGCACGGGCUAAGUUCGUGCCAGCAGCCGCGGUAAGACGAACCGUGCGAACGUUGUUCGGAAUCACUGGGCUUAAAGGGCGCGUAGGCGGGCGAUCAAGUCCGGGGUGAAAUCUUUCGGCUUAACCGGAAAAGGGCCUUGGAUACUGAUUGUCUCGAGGGUGGCAGGGGCAUGUGGAACUUCCGGUGGAGCGGUGAAAUGCGUUGAUAUCGGAAGGAACGCCGGUGGCGAAAGCGACGUGCUGGACCACUUCUGACGCUGAGGCGCGAAAGCCAGGGGAGCAAACGGGAUUAGAUACCCCCGUAGUCC
rnacentral:rRNA from 1 species